UACGUAGGGUGCAAGCGUUGUCCGGAAUUAUUGGGCGUAAAGAGCUCGUAGGCGGUCUGUCGCGUCGGCUGUGAAAACCUGGGGCUCAACUCUGGGCGUGCGGUCGAUACGGGCAUCACUUGAGUUCGGCAGGGGAGACUGGAAUUCCUGGUGUAGCGGUGAAAUGCGCAGAUAUCAGGAGGAACACCGGUGGCGAAGGCGGGUCUCUGGGCCGAUACUGACGCUGAGGAGCGAAAGCAUGGGUAGCGAACAGG
rnacentral:rRNA from 1 species